rnacentral:lncRNA from 1 species
GUACAUAAGGAUAAAAUUAUAAUUUAAAACAAUUUACUCCCAAUUCAAGACAAAGUAAACAAAUAAUUGGGAUUCUGAUUGACAAUCCAUACUUUUAUUUAGUCUAAGUAAACAUCAUACUCUCAUUCACACUCCACACUCCUAAUCUAAAGAUUCCCACUUCUCAGAAUUCCCACUCCAAUCCAAAAAAUAAACGCAACAUAAAAUUAAAUGUAGCUGGGAAACCACAUCCCUUAACACUAGGGCCACCCGUCGCCACAGUUGGUCGUCCCAUCGACAGCAAAACUAGAAGCAGAGAUGCAUAGAUUAAAAUAUCCUUCUAAAUUUUUCGGUAUAUUUUUUUCUAUAAGUACACGAUUUACACUACUUCCACAGUGUAAGGACUUGUUUAACAUCUUUUUAAUGCUUCUUCUUGAACACCCGAUUUAUUUAAAUUUGAGCUUGGCUUUUUUCUUUUUUCUUUUUUUGAGAAGAAACUUGGCUAUCUUACAGAUUAUGCAAUGUACAAUUAAACUAAGCCAAAUGGAUUGAUUAGAGGUGGAUUUAACAUCUAAGUGGACCAGAGACCCCAUUUUACAAGCACUGUAUCUUAAAUAAUUUGUGAGGUAGCAUGCCCCUUUAAAUUUACGUGUUAAUUGUGGUACUGGUACGUCGAGCCAUAAAAGAAACUGUUCAAUUGAUUAGAGAGAUUCCAAGCAUCGAUAUAUUCUACAGUGCUUUGAUUUAAUAAUUUCAUCUCAUUUUUCCAAGCACUGUGGACAACUAGUUUUUCCCCAAUUUCACAUAAUAGAGCUUUGUUAUCUUUUAUUUUAUGAAGUGGAUAAAUCAGUGCAAGUUGUGAAAGCAAGACUACUAAAAAAUUCUCUCUCAAUUAUUGCUAAUUUAUUUUUUCUUUUUUGAUAGGCACACUGCUGUCAGUAAUAGUUCUUUUGUAAGAGCACAUUCAAGAAAACCAAUUUUAUAAUAGCAAUAAUUGUUGUUAAACUUCAUUUAGGCCCUUUUUUAUAUAUAACUUAUCUGGCUUCUAACAUAAGUAAACAUAUAUAUGGUAAUUAAUUCAAUAUGCGAAGUGAGAAUAUUUACACUUGUAAAUUUCCUUAUAAACAAUUCCCGUUUAUUAUUAUUUUUCAAGCUUUUUCAUCAUCUUCAAUCAAUUUUUACAUUAUCAAAUAGAAAAUAUCAUUUUGCAUGCUAAAGCAAGAACCUAACAUCCUAAUUCAAAAACUUUAGCAAUUCAUAUAUAUAUAUAUAUAUAUAUAUAUAUAUUCUUAGAUUCGAGCGCCCUCAUUUUUUCGAUGUAGACAAGUUGUUAAAUCAUGCAGUUUAAUAUUAAAAACAGACUCUAUUAAACCACAUGACUAAAUAGUAUAAUUAAGUUAUAUAUAGGAUUAAUAUGAUUAAUUUAUAUAACCACAAGUUAUUAAGCCGCAUUAGAGAACAACUGCAUAUAUGAUCAAUUUAUGUUAAUUAGAGGUGCUUGUCUAUUUUAACAAAGCUGCUGCUUUUACCUUAUGAGGGUAAAAUAAUCAUAUUAAUUUAUGUUAAAGCAACGCUAUUAAUCAAGUAUAAUAAAAAAAUAAAUGAAUAUCAACUAAAUUACUACUUAUACAAAAUUACAAUAUUAAAAAAUAUUAACAUUCGAGUAAAUUUUUAGAUAUCUUAGUACUUUUAACUUAUGAGGAUAAAAUAGUCAUAUUAAUUUAUGCUAAAGCAACAUUAUUGAUAAAAUAUUAAAA